rnacentral:rRNA from 1 species
UAGAACCUGAAACCGUGUGCAUACAAGCAGUCGGAGCGGACUUGUUCCGUGACGGCGUACCUUUUGUAUAAUGGGUCAGCGACUUAUAUUCUGUAGCAAGGUUAACCGAAUAGGGGAGCCGUAGGGAAACCGAGUCUUAAUAGGGCGAAUGAGUUGCAGGGUAUAGACCCGAAACCGAGUGAUCUAUCCAUGAGCAGGUUGAAAGUGCCGUAACAGGCACCGGAGGACCGAACCCACUGUCGUUGAAAAGCCAGGGGAUGACUUGUGGAUAGGGGUGAAAGGCUAAUCAAACUCGGUGAUAGCUGGUUCUCCCCGAAAGCUAUUUAGGUAGCGCCUCGGACGAACACCAUUGGGGGUAGAGCACUGUUUCGGCUAGGGGGUCACACCGACUUACCAAACCGAUGCAAACUCCGAAUACCGAUGAGUGAUAUCCGGGAGACAGACGGCGGGUGCUAACGUCCGUCGUCAAGAGGGAAACAACCCAGACCGCCAGCUAAGGCCCCAAAUUCCUAGUUAAGUGGGAAACGAUGUGGGAAGGCACAGACAGCUAGGAGGUUGGCUUAGAAGCAGCCACCCUUUAAAGAAAGCGUAAUAGCUCACUAGUCGAGUCGGCCUGCGCGGAAGAUGUAACGGGGCUCAAACUAGGAGCCGAAGCUGCGGAUUUAAUUGUUUCAAUUAAGUGGUAGGGGAGCGUUGUGUAAGCCUGUGAAGGUGCACUGUAAGGUGUGCUGGAGGUAUCACAAGAGCGAAUGCUGACGUGAGUAACGACAAAACGGGUGAAAAGCCCGUUCGCCGGAAGACCAAGGGUUCCAGUCCAACGUUAAUCGGGGCUGGGUGAGUCGACCCCUAAGGCGAGGCCGAAAGGCGUAGUCGAUGGGAAAUCGGUUAAUAUUCCGAUACUUGUUUAUGAUGCGAUGGAGGGACGGAGAAGGUUAUGCCAGCCUGGCGAUGGUUGUCCAGGUGGAAGGAUGUAGUUAGACUGAGUAGGCAAAUCCGCUCGGUUAUUAAUGAGAUCUGAUAGCAAGCCAGUUUACUGGCGAAGUGGCAAAUACCCUGCUUCCAGGAAAAGCUUCUAAGCGAUAGUCAUAAACGAAUCGUACCCGAAACCGACACAGGUGGUCAGGUAGAGAAUACCAAGGCGCUUGAGAGAACUCUGCUGAAGGAACUAGGCAAAAUGGUACCGUAACUUCGGGAGAAGGUACGCUGCCGAUGGUGAUGAAACUUGCUUUCUGAGCUGUUGGCAGUCGCAGAUACCAGGCUGCUGCAACUGUUUAUUAAAAACACAGCACUCUGCAAACACGAAAGUGGACGUAUAGGGUGUGAUGCCUGCCCGGUGCUGGAAGGUUAAUUGAUGGGGUUAGCGUAAGCGAAGCUCUUGAUCGAAGCCCCAGUAAACGGCGGCCGUAACUAUAACGGUCCUAAGGUAGCGAAAUUCCUUGUCGGGUAAGUUCCGACCUGCACGAAUGGCAUAAUGAUGGCAGCGCUGUCUCCAGCAGAGACUCAGUGAAAUCGAAAUCGCAGUGAAGAUGCUGUGUACCCGCGGCUAGACGGAAAGACCCCGUGAACCUUUACUACAGCUUUACAUUGAACUUUGACCUAACUUGUGUAGGAUAGGUGGGAGGCUUUGAAGCAGAUACGCCAGUAUUUGUGGAGCCAACCUUGAAAUACCACCCUGGUUAUGUUGGGGUUCUAACUUAGAUAUAACAGUAUCAAGGACAAUGUAUGGUGGGUAGUUUGACUGGGGCGGUCUCCUCCUAAAGAGUAACGGAGGAGUACGAAGGUGCGCUCAGAACGGUCGGAAAUCGUUCAAAGAGUAUAAAGGCAAAAGCGCGCUUAACUGCGAGACCCACAAGUCGAGCAGGUACGAAAGUAGGUCUUAGUGAUCCGGUGGUUCUGUAUGGAAGGGCCAUCGCUCAACGGAUAAAAGGUACUCUGGGGAUAACAGGCUGAUACCGCCCAAGAGUUCAUAUCGACGGCGGUGUUUGGCACCUCGAUGUCGGCUCAUCUCAUCCUGGGGCUGAAGCAGGUCCCAAGGGUAUGGCUGUUCGCCAUUUAAAGAGGUACGCGAGCUGGGUUUAGAACGUCGUGAGACAGUUCGGUCCCUAUCUACCGUGGGCGUUGGAAAUUUGAGAGGAUCUGCUCCUAGUACGAGAGGACCAGAGUGGACGAACCUCUGGUGUUUCGGUUGUCACGCCAGUGGCAUUGCCGAGUAGCUAUGUUCGGAUGGGAUAACCGCUGAAAGCAUCUAAGCGGGAAGCCCACCUCAAGAUGAGAUUUCCCUAAAGAGCCGUUGUAGACUACGACGUUGAUAGGUUGGGUGUGGAAGUGUAGUGAUACAUGUAGCUAACCAAUACUAAUUGCUCGUUUGGCUUGAC